UCUUUGGAGGACUAGCGGUUAGGCCUCUGUGCUCUCACCCCGGCGGCUCGGGUUCAACUCCUGGCCAGGGAA
rnacentral:tRNA from 1 species